GACCCACGUCCACACUCCUCCUCAAGUUGGUGCAUAUAUGUCACGAAUGCCCAACUUGGUAAGUGAGUCAUGAAAUACUCUUCCAUACUCACAACAUAUGCAAUAUCUGAUCUUGGAGGACGUAUGAAGAGUAGAACCUUUGGUGGUGGUGAUAUAAGAAGAAGUCUGCAUUGACCGCAUGCUUCUGUGAGUUUGCAACAAGAUGGAGAAUCGUAUGAGUUCUUGACAUCGCACCGGAAGUAAGAAGUGAUAUGAGAAGGUGAGGAAGGUGAUAUGAGAAAUUUGAUGUAUGAAUUUGAUGUAGGAUAGGUAUGUGCAUAAGAUUUGAUGGUAUGUGUUUAGGGAUUUGGAUAAGAGGAUUUGAGGACUUUAGAUUUAAGGGAUUUGGAUUUGGGGGAAAAAAAGAAGAGGAAUUUGAUUUAGGGUUUUGGAUUUGAAUAUGAGAAAUUUGAAGAAAUUUGAGAUAAGGAUGGAUUUGAAUAUGAGUAAUUUGAAGAAAUUUGAGAAAUCUGAGAUAAGGGUUUAGAGACAAAACAACUUCUCUUAACUCCCCUUCUCCCUUUGAAGAGAAGGGGUCAUCAGAGUCAAGAAAUAAGCAACAUCUUCUUGGGAUGCGUCAAUAAACAUAGCCCUUUCACUUUUUGUUUUUUGUUUUUUGUUUUUUUGUGUAGAGUUUGCCUCUCUUAGUACCACAACCAAUCGUCUUGCUGCUGAGGAUCUCUUGUUGUGGCUACAGAGGCAGAGGCAGGAGCUGGUGCCGUUGGAACUGCAGGACUAACAGAAGCUGAGUCAGAAGAUGUGUCGAGUGAUUUGCCCUUAUUCUUGUGCGGAGCUUUGGAGUGGUCCCACCAAUCCGGGUAACCAAUCAAUUCGUAACAGCCAUCACGAGUAUGUUUGCUUCCACCACAGUGAGUGCAUUUGCGUUCUGGACGAGAGCUUAUGACUUGAGUCUGAGAAGCACCAGUAGUAGAAAUCGGAGGACCCUGUGGACGUUGGGUGGCUAGGACAGCAGUGUCUGGAGUACUGGUCAUGGUCAGUCGUUGUUGAGCUUCGCGAUGGACAUAUGCAAAGGUUUAAGGGUAAAAAAAAAAAAGUGUUUUGGAAUUUGAAGAUAUGAGGGAUGUGGAUGGAGAUCUGAAUUUGGUAAAGAGAGUUUGGAGAAAUAUGAGGAAUUUGAGGAAUAUGAUUUUAGGGUUUGUG
rnacentral:lncRNA from 1 species